GAAUAACUUCCUAUCUUUCUUGUGCCAAUCAAUACCUCGGGAUAUUUGUGAAUGUUGAAAACUUGCAUGUGAACUUUAUUUUCUUGUUGCUUCUGCAGGGAAUUAUUCUGAAGGAAAAUGGAAGAAUUGGAGAUGCAGAGAGGAUGUUUAUACAAGCACGGUUCUUCGCACCAGAGAAAGCCAAGGCACUUGUGGACCGCUAUUCAAGACAAUAAUGACAUGUUUAAACUGCUUGUGUAUUUUUCAAUAUAGGCUAGUUGAAUACAUCUCUAUCUGAAACCCCAUGUUGUACAAUUCUAAUGGAGUUACCAUUCAACCUGUACGGUAGAUGAUUGAUUUUUAAAUAGGUUUGGGCAGUAAAUAUUCUGAAUUCUCCAAUGUAUUUUGGAAAAUAACUAUAUAUAUCCAUGAGUGUGGCUUCGCUGUUUUUU